rnacentral:rRNA from 1 species
UCGAGAAUAAUUCACAAUGGGGGCAACCCUGAUGGUGCAACGCCGCGUGGAGGAUGACGGUCUUCGGAUUGUAAACUCCUGUCAUCUGGGAGAAAGACCUGGGAGUUAAUAGCUCACAGGGUUGAUAGUACCAGAAGAGGAAGGGACGGCUAACUUCGUGCCAGCAGCCGCGGUAAUACGAAGGUCCCGAGCGUUGUUCGGAAUCACUGGGCGUAAAGGGAGCGUAGGCGGCGCGGUAAGUCGGAUGUGAAAUCCCGGGGCUCAACCCCGGAACUGCAUCUGAUACUGCCGUGCUAGAGUAAUGGAGAGGUAGCUGGAAUUAUCGGUGUAGCAGUGAAAUGCGUAGAUAUCGAUAGGAACACUCGUGGCGAAAGCGAGCUACUGGACAUUUACUGACGCU